GUAUACAGAGCAAAGAGGAAAGACUUUAAUCUCCUGCUUCACCACAGGUGCAGUGUGGACCACAGCAGUGCCAUCUUCCCCAUGGAGCCAUGACUGGCCAGCGCUUCCCACCCUCCUGGCUUUGGAGAGACCACCCAGCGGUGGAGAGAGUGAGAAGACAGCUCUCUGCAGUCAGCUGUCCUUUCCCUCUGCAGGUAUUGGGUGUCGCCAAGCCGGCAUUGACUAAUUCAGGACAGUUUUUCGGGACCCUACCUGCUUUACAAAUAGGCGAGCGCUGCGUCGCCCUGGUGUCAGUGUGCUACAGUGAGGCUCCAUGGCACCACCUGUCACGAGACGCUUUGAAAAAGCUGCUACAACACACCAGACCAGCCUUCUGCCACUCACUCAUCCCACACGCCUUCACACUCCUCCCCGCUGUCCCGUGCGCGGACACGGCCAGGCCGCUAGAGCAACACCGCGAACUCUCACACCACCGCCGAUAG
rnacentral:lncRNA from 1 species